AAGGGCUUAGUUUAAUUAAAGCGAUUGAUUUGCGUUCAGUUGAUGCGGAGUAGGUGUCUGCAGUCCUUA
ensembl:Mt_tRNA